rnacentral:lncRNA from 1 species
AGGUUGGACAUGGACAUUGGCAAUUUCUUGAAGGUGUGGAAGACCCUUCCUCCCAGCUCAGCCAGCAUCUCUGAGCUGGGUGACGCUGCUGAUGCUGAACCUUUGGAGGGUCCCCAGAACAUAGAAGAAGGGGAGAAGGGGGAGGAAAGCCUGGAAGAGGAGCUGGUGGAGGAGCCAGGAAUUCCGAAGCCUGAUGAACAAGAGGAGCAGGACUCUGACCCCGUGUCAGUGUUUGGGGUCGAGUGCCCUUCCUUUUCCGAGGAAAUCCUCCAGUGCCUCAGCCUGCACGACCCCUCCGAGGGGGCUUUAGACAUCGACCUUCUGCCUGUGGUGUCUUCGCCAUACCUGGAUGUCCCCUGGGAUGGGAAGGCUCCGAGUCAGCAGGUUCUUACCCAGCU